rnacentral:tRNA from 1 species
CUGAAUAGCUCAGUCGGUAGAGCAUGAGACUCUUAAUCUCAGGGUUAUGGGUUCAAGCCCUAUGCUGAGUGAAAGA